rnacentral:rRNA from 1 species
AACGAACGCUGGCGGCAUGCCUAAUACAUGCAAGUCGAACGAGAUCUUCGGAUCUAGUGGCGCACGGGUGCGUAACGCGUGGGAAUAUGCCCUUGGGUUCGGAAUAACUUCUGGAAACGGAAGCUAAUACCGGAUGAUGACGUAAGUCCAAGGAUUUAUCGAACAAGGAUGAGCCCGCGUAGGAUUAGCUAGUUGGUGGGGUAAAGGCCCAACAAGGCGACGAUCCUUAGCUGGUCUGAGAGGAUGAUCAGCCACUCUGGGACUGAGACACGGCCCAGACUCCUACGGGAGGCAGCAGUAGGGAAUAUUGGACAAUGGGGGAAACCAUGAUCCAGCAAUGCCGCGUGAGUGAUGAAGGCCUUAGGGUUGUAAAGCUCUUGUACCCGGGAUGAUAAUGACAGUACCGGGAGAAUAAGCUCCGGCUAACUCCGUG